GUGCCAGACUCCUACGGGAGGCAGCAGUGGGGAAUAUUGCACAAUGGGGGGAACCCUGAUGCAGCGACGCCGCGUGGGUGAAGAAGUCAUUCGUGACGUAAAGCCCUAUCAGCAGGGAAGAAAUGACGGUACCUGACUAAGAAGCCCCGGCUAACUACGUGCCAGCAGCCGCGGUAAUACGUAGGGGGCAAGCGUUAUCCGGAUUUACCGGGUGUAAAGGGAGCGUAGACGGCGAUGCAAGUCUGAAGUGAAAGGCGGGGGCCCAACCCCUGGACUGCUUUGGAAACUGUAUGGCUGGAGUGCAGGAGAGGUAAGUGGAAUUCCUAGUGUAGCGGUGAAAUGCGUAGAUAUUAGGAGGAACACCAGUGGCGAAGGCGGCUUACUGGACUGUAACUGACGUUGAGGCUCGAAAGCGUGGGGAGCAAACAGGAUUAGAUACCCCAGUA
rnacentral:rRNA from 1 species